rnacentral:rRNA from 1 species
GAUGAACGCUAGCUACAGGCUUAACACAUGCAAGUCGAGGGGUAACAAGAGAAAAGCUUGCUUUUCUUGUUGACGACCGGCGCACGGGUGAGUAACGCGUAUCCAACCUGCCUAUAACUAGGGAAUAACCUUGCGAAAGUAAUACUAAUACCCUAUGAUUUCCUUUGAUGACAUCAGAUUAGGAAUAAGGAUUAAUCGGUUAUAGAUGGGGAUGCGUCUGAUUAGCUUGUUGGCGGGGUAACGGCCCACCAAGGCAACGAUCAGUAGGGGUUCUGAGAGGAAGGUCCGCCACAUUGGAACUGAGACACGGUCGAAACUCCUACGGGAGGCAGCAGUGAGGAAUAUUGGUCAAUGGGCGGAAGCCUGAACCAGCCAAGUAGCGUGCAGGAUGACGGCCCUAUGGGUUGUAAACUGCUUUUAUACAGGAAUAAAGUUAGCCACGUGUGGUUAUUUGUAGGUACUGUAUGAAUAAGGACCGGCUAAUUCCGUGCCAGCCGCCGCGGUAACAC